rnacentral:rRNA from 1 species
UUUUCCUACGGGGCGCAGCAGUGAGGAAUAUUGGUCAAUGGGCGGAGGCCUGAACCAGCCAAGUCGCGUGAGGGAAUAAGGCCCUACGGGUCGUAAACCUCUUUUGCCGGGGAGCAAGGGCCGGGACGAGUCCCGGUCCGGAGAGUACCCGGAGAAAAAGCAUCGGCUAACUCCGUGCCAGCAGCCGCGGUAAUACGGAGGAUGCGAGCGUUAUCCGGAUUUAUUGGGUUUAAGGGGUGCGUAGGCGGGCUUUUAAGUCAGCGGUAAAAAUUCGGGGCUCAACCCCUUCCGGCCGUUGAAACUGG